UACGGAGGGUGCAAGCGUUAUCCGGAUUCACUGGGUUUAAAGGGUGCGUAGGCGGGUAAGUAAGUCCGUGGUGAAAUCUCUGAGCUUAACUCAGAAACUGCCGUGGAUACUAUUUGCCUUGAAUAUUGUGGAGGUGAGCGGAAUAUGUCAUGUAGCGGUGAAAUGCUUAGAUAUGACAUAGAACACCAAUUGCGAAGGCAGCUCACUACACAAUCAUUGACGCUGAGGCGCGAAAGCGUGGGGAUCAAACAGG
rnacentral:rRNA from 1 species